rnacentral:rRNA from 1 species
UACGUAGGGUGCAAGCGUUAAUCGGAAUUACUGGGCGUAAAGCGUGCGCAGGCGGUGAUGUAAGACAGGUGUGAAAUCCCCGGGCUUAACCUGGGAACUGCAUUUGUGACUGCACGGCUGGAGUGCGGCAGAGGGGGAUGGAAUUCCGCGUGUAGCAGUGAAAUGCGUAGAUAUGCGGAGGAACACCGAUGGCGAAGGCAAUCCCCUGGGCCUGCACUGACGCUCAUGCACGAAAGCGUGGGGAGC